AAAAAAAUAAAAAAAGAAACCAAGUAAAUAUUUUAAUGAACACAGACAGAUACACAUGCACACAUGCAUUCAACCCCAAACUGACUAGAAGAGCAUGCCACUGUAAUAAUGUGGAAGGCCAGGAGAACUCAUGCCUUUUGUUUAAGCAGGUGCUUGGGAACAAGGAGACAUCACCCGGAUUCAGGGCAUCGUGUGAAGAUCUGGCUUCACUCAUCACUUAUUGUUGAGCAAUGGGAGCAAAAAUGUAGCAAAUAAUGCAAAGAAAAUCCUUCUAAGGGAUCUGAGCCCGGAAACUAAUCCAGCUGAUUAAUUAGUGCUGCAGAGAUCUAGGGGAGGCCUUUAUCUGAAGAGCAGUUCAACCAUUAGCAAAGGAAACUUCCUUGUGCACCAGCGGCUCAGAUAACAAGUUGGCUACCUUGUUGCCCCAGGGCACCUGUCUUGGGGAUAACCAAGAAUGUGGAUGGUGAUGGCCAUGGUGCAAGACUCAGCUUCAGUGGGGGCUGCUCCCAGGAUGUCGGGCUCACGGACCCCUCUCAUUGAUGCCAGUCUCAGGUGGCUCUAUCCCUGGAAGAACAUUCAGGUCAUUUUUGCAUCAUUUGAUCCUUGAAACUAUACUAAGAAGGGGUCAGAGUGAUAUCACCGUUUUCUCAAAUGUGAGAAUGAACACUGGCAAGAUAAAGUGACUUAUUCAAACGUACCCAGAGAGCUGAUGAGAAAGUCAAGCCUAGGAAGCAUGAAAAUGUGACUAUGCUGGCUUUCGGGCAAAGGGUGGCACCCCCACCUCAAGGCCAUGACCAACCAAUGACAGUGGGACUGAAUGCUCAGAAGUUAUUCACAAUUUUGAAUCAUUUUAGAAGAUGCCCUUGAAAGAAUGGAAGCAUGGACAAGACUUUUUAAAAAUAAAAAAC
rnacentral:lncRNA from 10 species